UUCCGCAUAUCAAAUGAAUCCUCAUCCUUUCCAUGUGGAUUACUAUAGUACCCAAUAACUCGUCUAUAAACCGAAUACCCCAAUCCUUUGUAAAAGUCAAUUGCAAGUGCAUUGCUGGCACGCACAAACAGGUCAACAAAAAAAGCGUUUUCAGAAUUUCCUACAGUUUCUAAGUAGUCCAUCAUCGUUCUAGCAAGGCCUAAACGACGGGAAUUUGGCGCUACUGUAAUGGCGGUAAC